rnacentral:sRNA from 1 species
GAAGAAGAUUUUAAUUCCAGCUUAAAUAAGUAAGACUUGACUC